rnacentral:rRNA from 1 species
UAAAGCGUGCGCAGGCGGUUAUAUAAGACAGAUGUGAAAUCCCCGGGCUCAACCUGGGAACUGCAUUUGUGACUGUAUAGCUGGAGUGCGGCAGAGGGGGAUGGAAUUCCGCGUGUAGCAGUGAAAUGCGUAGAUAUGCGGAGGAACACCGAUGGCGAAGGCAAUCCCCUGGGCCUGCACUGACGCUCAUGCACGAAAGCGUGGGGAGCAAACAGGAUUAGAUACCCAGU